rnacentral:rRNA from 1 species
UGAGUUUGAUCCUGGCUCAGAACAAACGCUGGCGGCGUGCAUAACACAUGCAAGUCUGACGGGAAUGCCGGCUUCGGCUGGCUAGUACCGUGGCGAACGGGUGAGUAACACGUGGGUAAUCUAACCUCGAGCUCGGGAUAACCUUGCGAAAGCGGGGCUAAUACCGGAUAAGACCACGCCUUGUACGCAGGGCGCGGUAAAAGGUGGCCUCUUCUUGAAAGCUAUCACUUGAGGAUGAGCCCGCGGCCUAUUAGCUAGUUGGUAGGGUAACGGCCUACCAAGGCGACGAUGGGUAGCCGGCCUGAGAGGGUGUACGGCCACACUGGAACUGAGACACGGUCCAGACUCCUACGGGAGGCAGCAGUGGGGAAUUUUGCGCAAUGGGGGAAACCCUGACGCAGCAACGCCGCGUGAGUGAUGAAGGCCUUGGGUCGUAAAGCUCUUUUAGUGGGGAAGAAGCCCGCCCGGGCUAAUAUCCCGGGUGGAUGACGGUACCCACAGAAAAAGUUCCGGCUAACUACGUGCCAGCAGCCGCGGUAAUACGUAGGGAGCAAGCGUUGUUCGGAAUUAUUGGGCGUAAAGAGCGCGUAGGCGGUUUGGUAAGUCUGACGUGAAAUCCCGGAGCUCAACUCCGGAACUGCGUUGGAUACUGCCAGGCUUGAGUGUGGGAGAGGUGAGUGGAAUUCCCAGUGUAGAGGUGAAAUUCGUAGAUAUUGGGAGGAACACCCGUGGCGAAGGCGGCUCACUGGACCACAACUGACGCUGAGGCGCGAAAGCUAGGGGAGCAAACGGGAUUAGAUACCCCGGUAGUCCUAGCCGUAAACGAUGGGCACUAGGUGUUGGAGGUAUCGACCCCUCCAGUGCCGCAGCUAACGCAUUAAGUGCCCCGCCUGGGGAGUACGGUCGCAAGACUAAAACUCAAAGGAAUUGACGGGGGCCCGCACAAGCGGUGGAGCAUGUGGUUUAAUUCGACGCAACGCGAAGAACCUUACCUGGGCUUGACAUCCCCCGAAGGUGCUGGAAACAGUACCGUCACUUCGGUGACGGGGAGACAGGUGCUGCAUGGCUGUCGUCAGCUCGUGUCGUGAGAUGUUGGGUUAAGUCCCGCAACGAGCGCAACCCUUACCCUUAGUUGCCAGCGGUCCGGCCGGGAACUCUAAGGGAACUGCCGGCGAUAAACCGGAGGAAGGUGAGGAUGACGUCAAGUCCUCAUGGCCUUUAUGCCCAGGGCUACACACGUGCUACAAUGGCCGGUACAAAGAGUCGCAAACCCGCAAGGGGGAGCCAAUCUCAAAAAGCCGGUCUCAGUUCAGAUUGCGGGCUGCAACUCGCCCGCAUGAAGGCGGAAUCGCUAGUAAUCCCGGAUCAGCAUGCCGGGGUGAAUACGUUCCCGGGCCUUGUACACACCGCCCGUCACACCACGAAAGUCAGUUGUACCAGAAGUCGCUGCGCCAACCCGCAAGGGAGGCAGGCGCCGAAGGUAUGAUUGGUGAUUGGGGUGAAGUCGUAACAAGGUAGCCGUAGGGGAACCUGCGGCUGGAUCACCUCCUUUCU